rnacentral:lncRNA from 1 species
UACCUUAAGCAACUUGAACUGUGAAACAAUGGAACACAUCCGUGUUGGAAAAUCUACUUGCAUUGAAAUAAAGGUGCAGAUUAUACCACUGCUAUGUUGCAUACUAUAAUCAUGCUUCUCUUCAACUUCAGACAGAAGGAUCAUUCGACGUUGAUUAUCUAUGGCUUCAAGAACAUUCCCAUUCAUGACAUGCACAACAUUUUCAGUAUGAGCUUCACUUAGGCAUAGUUGGCGAAGAAGAUCAUGAAUUUUGCAAGUUCUCAUCCUUCCAUUAACCAUUCUUUUUGUUUUUUAAAAAGUUAUUGCAUUCGACUGAAUUCUAACUCGUAUCACUUGAUUUUACAGGUACGUUGGUGAUAACACGAGUGUAUGCAGAUGAUACAUGUAACGAACGCUAUGAUGAUAAUUUUAUUCUUUGUCCUCAAUAAGACAUUAAAUGUGUAUACGAUGGAAAAAGAAUGAUAUUUUUCUAUACAAACUUAACAUGUCAUGUUAAAUACUUGAACUAUAAGAAAAAAAUUAAAGAAAGCACAGCAUUUGACUGUUCUCAUAUCCUAUAUACUUUUGUCACUUUUUAUUUCCUCAAACUUUUGUUGCAACCUGCAGAUCCUACACAUGAUAAACCUUAACAAAGCAAAGUGUGGAAUGCAGCUAGCUUUUUUAGUCAGAGGUUCAUCGUUUUGGCUCAUUCAACGUCUUACCCUCAAAAAAUUCACCAAGCAUACGUUCAAGAUCUUCAGCCGAGUAGUACCUGAUAUACUUUGGGGGUUCUUACCGCUCUCAACCAUGGGCCUACUCCAGAAAAUACAUUGAAUUAUCAGAAUAAGAUUAGAAGUAAUCAUACAAGAAAAACUGACUUACUAUGAAGUUUGAAGCAAUGUUAUAUUGGCAUAAUACAUAAACAAACAUUAAACUUGAUCUCAGAUGGCAAGUAAACACUUCGAUCAACUUUGAAAGUGCACAUCUAGACACCUCAACUUUCAUUUGAUAUGUCAUGGGCGUUGGAAAGAGGAUUCAAUUAUCUUUCAUUUGAUAGGUCAUGGCCAUGGGCCACCCAAUUCCUUUUGUGCUAAGAGUUAUGACCGUUUGAAGUUAAACUACAACCUGUAUAGAAAUCAGCCCAAUCGAACACUCACAGACCAAUAGUCACAGUUCAGCAACCAAUAAGCUUCAAGUAUAUCUAGAGACGGAUCUAGGAUUUGGAGGUCGUGGGUGCCAUAUCAUUCGAGUAAGAUAAAAGGAUCGGUUGCUUUAAUUUUGGGUUACAAUUCGGGUUAUUAAUCUUUUUUAUUUUUAUAAACAAAUCAAUCAAAUAUGCAUGUUAGUAAUAUUCUUUUUUUUAGAUAUUCCGAGAUUAGAGAUAAUUAAACAAUUCAAUUUUAAUUUACUUUUUGGAAUUAGAUGUCUUAUUCGUUGAAAUUUUGUGAAAAAAAAAAAUUUCACAUUAAAAUUUGAGCUUGUAUAAACUAUUUAACAGUAUGAACUUAAUAUAUUCAUAUUCCAUUGACUUUAUGUGUUGUUGGAGAUAUAUAGUAGGGAAAAAAUAAAAAUUAUAGUUUCAGCAUAGUCAUCUUACUUAGCAAGAACAUCAGUGAAGAUCGAAAGAACAUUUAAAUUAAAAAAAAUUAUCCUAAUAAUAUUCAUCAUUUUUAAAACUUAUAUUUUUUAAAAACUACUAUUUAAAUAUAUUCUUAAUAAUAUUUAUUUGACGUUCAUAAUUCAGCAAUCAUUAAUUGAUAAAGAAUAAACAUGUAACACUCAUAUCAAUAGAUUAAUAGUUAGUGAAAGAGAAAGUAAAAAAAAAGAAAUUAAUUGUGAAAAAGAGUCAAUUUGAAUUAAUAAAGAAUAGUAAAUAAAUAAGAAUGAAUGGAGAAAAAAAUGAAAGCCCUUUACAAAUUAAUUAAAAAGACAAAAAAAAAUGAAAAAAGGAGCAAAAAAGACAAAAAAAAAGAAAAGAAAUGAAAAAAGGAGCAAACAAAAAAAACAGGUGCUUGCAGCAAGGUUCGAACCCGCAUUGGCUGUGUGGCAAGUGGCCUCCUUAACCAAUUGAACUGUUCAGCAUUUCAGUUAUUGGGUGGCAAAGUUAAUAUAUAUUUAAGUUUUAGAUAUAUAUAUGUACAUAUAUAUACAACGUUUUUUCCGAAAUCACUGGGUGCCGUGGCACCGCCACCUAACCACGUAGAUCCACCCCUGAGUAUAUCAAUCACACAUAUCAAGUAGGUCAUUCACACGUAUCAAGUAGAUUAAUCACAAGUGUCCAGUAGAUCAAUCACAAGUAUCAAAAUGCAUCAAAUUACAAUAAUCAAACUCUUGUCGGAACCAUUUUCCUUCGACACAAUAUCACUACCCAGAACCAUUUCCCUUCGACUUUAUAUCAUAACAUUGUAAAAAUGGUACUCCAUAAAUUUCAAUAGUUAAAAAGGGUGGCAUGUAAAUCAAAAUAAGUGAAGCCCACAGUGGGCAAUGAAAUUUAUUUUGAAGGGCUAAAAACGUCUUUACAGUAGAGAAGGAAAACAAAGCUGCAACCAAUGAAAAAAAAGAAAAGAAAUUAGCUCAAAAGACUCAACUACCUUCAGCAGGCAUUGACCUAUGGUUUGCUUGAGAUGGUGAAGCUCCCUUUUAUAAUAAAGUAUAAUAUAAUAUAAAAUAUAAUAUAAUAAUAAUAAUAAUAGAUUUCAAAGCUACAAAAGAAAAAAAAAAUGUAUACUCCCUUUGUCCCAUUAUAUAGGGAAAAUGCAUAGUACCCCCAACCUAUUCCCGAAAUCUCAGAGACACACUUAUGCAUUUUCCCCAUUAUAUAUGAGUAAGUUUGAUUUAACACAAAAUUUAAGGAAAUUUUUUUUUUUAAAAUUUAUGGUCUAACAUAAGUGAUACUCUUUGUUCCUAUUUAUAUGUCGUCUUUACUAAAAAUAGAUGGUCUUUAAUAUUUGUCAUUUUACAAAAUCAAUGCAUAAAUAAUAUUAUUCUUUCUAUUUUACCCUUUGCUAUUAACCUUGAAAGUAUACAUUUAUCCAACAUAAAAAAACUAAGUGAUUAAUUUAUUUUUAUUGGUCAAAUUAGUUAAUCAAAGUAAAUUAAUUUAUGUUCAUUUUUUGAAACCUUAACUUCAAGAGAACACAAAAUAAGGGUACAAUGACAAACUUACUUGGUUACUUAAGGGGUGUGAAACCUAAAACGGUGACAACUAAAUAGAAAUGGAGGGAGUAGAUGUUUAUGUGACUAAAUCAUUUCAUUAAGGAUAAAAUGAACAUUUUAAAGUUAAAUUAUCGCUAAAUAUAGAAAUAUGUUAUAUUUUUAGACCGACUAAAAAAGUAAAUGAAUCAUAUAAAUUAGGGCAGAGGGAGCAAGGGCGGACCUAGGUGGAGCCUAGCUGAACCCCCUCGUCAAAAAAUAACACUAUGUACAUAACGUCAAAUUUGACUUUAUGUGUAUAUAUAUUAAAAUGAACCCCUUGAGAACAAAGGACAAACUUGGCCCAAUGGAUAAGUGGGUCAUGUAAUGCCCCUAUGUCACGGGUUCAAGUCCCAUUGGCAACAUUUUUUCCCUUUUUUAAUAUUAGCUUUGGUAAAUGGAACUUUUGGGCUUAGACCAUCUCCAAUCCACCUCUAUUUUACUCUCCAUUCUCUAUAUUUGGAGAGUAAAAUAGAGAAUGGACACUCCAACCAACCUCCAAAUCACCCUCUAUUCUUCAAAUUUAGAGAGUUGAAUAGUAGUUCUCCAAAUUUGAAGAACUACUAUUCACACUUUCUAUUUCACUUUUUCAUUAGUUUAUUAUUAUUUCUAUUACUUUAUAAUUAACAUAUUAUUUUACAUAUAAUUUCAUUAAUUAAAUAUCUAAUAUUCAUAAUUCUUUUUAAAUGUAAUAUAAUAUUUUUAAAAAAUUAUUUAAUAUAUACUACUUUAAUUUCAAAUUAAUAGUAUUUUUUAAAAAAUUCUAAUUUUCGUCAUUAAUUUUCAUUAUAAAGAAUACACAAAAUUAAAAUGGCAAGAUGAAAAAUUUAAUUUAAAAAUGCAAUACAUAAUAUGAUAAUUUAAAUACAAGAUAACAAUACAAUAUAUAACAUAAUAAUUUAAAUACAAGAUAACAAUACAAUACAUAACAUAAUAAUUUAAAUACAAGAUAAAAUACAACACAUAACAUAAUAAUUAAUUUAUUACAACAAUAAUUUAGUAAUCCGGUAGGUCGUUUCCAGAUUUAGCAAUAUUCAGAAAAAAAUUAGGAUAUGAUUCUGAGAAUUGUUGCGAUUAUGGUUGUGAUUGUCGAUUUCUUUUUUCAAGUAUUCGUUGUUGUUCUCGUUGCAGGUAAUCACGAACAUUUAGAUCACUAAUAGUUUCUAAAUUUUUCAUUAAAAUUUUAUUUUCGUCUCUAAAUUCCUUGGCUUUGAUAUAUCUACAUUUAUUUUCCAAUCUUGUUAGCGGUAUUGCGCCUCCAGCCCAUUAUGUUAUUCAAGGAAAAGAAUAUGUUAUGGGUUAUUACUUAGCUGACGGUAUAUAUCCUAAAUGGUCUACAAUUGUUCAAACUAUUCGUGAUCCUUAUUCCUAAAAGAAGAAAUAUUUCGCGAUGAAACAAGAAUCGUGCAGAAAAGAUGUUGAACGUGCAUUUGAAGUUUUGCAAUCACGUUUUGCAAUUAUUGCAGGACCGUCACGUUUUUGGAGAAAGGAAGUGCUACAUGAUAUAAUUACUACAUGUAUUAUACUGCACAACAUGAUAAUUGAGGAUGAACGUGAUCUCAAUGCACCAAUUCAAGAUGUCGUAGAGGCUCCAACUCCAACUAUAGAAAUGGUGGUAGAUGAAAAUCUCUGGUUUGAACAAUUUUUAGCUAGACAUAAAAAAAUUAAGGACAAAAAUGCUCAUUUUGAACUUCGUAAUGCAUUAAUAGAACAUUGAUGGGAGCAACGUAAUAAUUUUGAAAAUUGAGUGUUUAUGUAAUUGUAUGUCACUUUUAUUUGAAUUUGUCCAUUAAUUUAUGUAUUAUAUUAUAUUUUCUUGCAAUUUAAGUUAUUUAAAAAUUUAGAAUAAAAUAUAAUUUUAUAUCACAUUAAAAAUUAUAUAAAGUAAUUAUUUGGGAAAAAAAAAUAAAGGAUUUAUAUUAUGAAAUAAGAAAAUAAGAAUGAAAUGGAAAUAAUAAUAUAAUAUUGAGGAGAGAGAAAAAAAUUCCUUUUUAGAGAGUAAAAUAGAGAAUUGGGUUGGAGUUGGUUGUCUGAAAAAAUAGAGAACUCUAUAUUUGGAGAGUAAAAUAGAGGAUAGGGUUGGAGAUGCCCUUAGACCUUCUUCUUCAUUUUCAUUAUUUUUUCCUUUUAUUCCAUUUCUUCUUUUUAAUUUAUUUUUGUUUAAAUUUAUUAUACACAUUCUUUUUAUUUUUAUAUUUUAUUCCUUUUAUAUCUAUUAUUCAUUUUGUUACAAUAUAACUCUUUUUUCAUAUACGUUUGAAUAACUUUUUUUUAAAAAUGAUGAAUUAUAUUUAACUUGAAAUUGAGAUAGAAAUAUAGUUUGUUUUUUUUUUAAAUGUAAAUUAGAUGUAAUUGAAUGAAGAAACUUAAAUAUCGUCAACGUCCUUCUAAAAAUAUUAAUUUAAUAGAAUUCUUGAAAUUUCUUUUAUAUUUUUAAUUCUAUUUUAGUGAGAUGAAAACUAAACUUAUUUGAUUUAUUCGUUAUUUAAUUUUAAGAAUGCUCGAUGGAGCAUGAUAAAAGUAAAAAGAAAUGUUUAAUACGGUAUGAUAAAGUGAGUUCAAUUUAGCAUGACAAGGUAAAUAUCUUUCUUCCCCGUCUCGCUCCCCUUUUCAUCAUUUAAUUUUCAUGUGUUUUAGGAAUUAACUUAUGUAAUACAGUCUAUCCACUAAAAUUCUUAUCAAUGCAUCUUUGUCCUCGAUAUCUUUGAUUAGCUUAGUCUUUACUUUUAUGAACCAAUGAAAUAUCUAUGGUUCUUGUACAAAGAGCAUGCCGAGGGGCUACUACGCUCACCGCACACUUGCAUUACCACCUGAACUUCUUCUUUAUACUUCGAACCCCCUGAGCAAAAAUCCUGGGUCCGCCACUGAGAGGGAGUACUACAUUUCAAAUUGAAAAUAUGGCAAUCAUGAUUAAUUUGAUAGGAUAUUUAAUUUAGCUACUUUAUUAAAUAAUUUACAAAUUCUAUUUGGAACUAUAUGAAAUAGUGCACAUAUACCCUUGAGUCGUUUUUUACAUUAAAAAAUAUCCCUUUGAGUUGGGGUUGCUCGCUAUCACUUAAUAAAAUGUUUCUUUGAUACUCCAUAUGUCCCUAAUUACUUGUUUAUUUUUUAAAUGACACAUCUAUUAAGAAAACAAUGAAUGACAUAGUGAGUUUACCAUUUUACUCCUAUUAAUUAUGAAGUGGGUGAAUUAAAAACUUGAGAUUUUUAAGAAGUUCUACCUUUUUUCAUAGUAAUUAAUUGAGGAUAUAAUAGGUAAAAAUAAUUUGUCCUUUCUUGAUUUGUCAAAAUAGACAAAUAAUUAGGGAUAACUAAAAAAGGAAAAGUGGGCAGGUAAUUAGGGACAGAGGGAGUAUGUAUUAUAAGGAAAUAGGAAGAGCACAUGAACAUAUUAAUUAAGAAUUGACUAAUAAUAGAAGAUGGAAUUUCAACAUACCUUUUGAGUAAUUUGAAGUUGUAGCUCAUAAUUUCCCAAGCUUUCUUGCUCUUGUUGAAUUUUCUUUGCACUAUUUACUACACCAGAACUGCAAUCAACUAUUUGGAUUAACUUUAGUGUCAUUGUAUCUCCAAUACUCUCCGGAAUCUCCUCCAGUUGAAUAAACCAAUGCAGUAUUAGUUGCUCAAGCAUCGGAAAAUUAUCACUACCAUCUGCUUCCCACCUUUGAAAAUCAUAGGGCCCAUACAGUUGUAGAUAUUUUAAUUUAUGAAACACAACAUCUUCAUCUACUUUCCAAUCUGUUCCAGAAAAUGCACGAUACCCUUUGAGCACCUCAAGAUUCGGUAAAUUAGCCAGCAAAUUCACAACUUCCCAUGGUAUACGAGUACGUGUUAAUGUCAACUUCUUGAGAUUAGGAAGAAAAAUAUCUCCUGGGAUAAUCACCGGGUCAAUGUUGUUUCGUGUUUCUAUGUGUAGUGUCUCCAUAUCCUGUAAAAGACUGAGAGAAUCAAGAAAAUCAGGAAGCUUGGAUCUAUCUAAAAUCUUUAGCUUUUUUAGAUUGGGAGUUCUUCUUAUGAUUUCCGCAACAAAAGGAGAAUAAUGAAGAUAAAGCGUUUGCAAGUUAUUCAGAAGGCACAAAGGUUGUUCUGCUUCAAGGGGAUUUGAUAUAUAAUUUGGCCAUCUAAUAUCCAAAUGUCUUAUCUCUGACAUUCUCCAGAUAUCUAGUGACUGCUUCAACGUUGUUGGUAUGAAAGAGAUAUAUCUUCGAAGAACUAUGGUCUGUAGAUUUCUCAAUUUGUCUAGUGAACUAGCUUCCUUAAUUCUUACAGCAACAUAUCUCAAAUGUACAAGCUCAGGUAUUACCCAAGAGAAAUCGUAUUCAAUUGAUAAUACAUCCAAUACCUUAAGCAACUUCAACUGUGAACACAUCCAUUUUGGAAAAGCUACAUCCACUGAAAUAAAGGUACGUAUUAUACCACUGCUAUGUCGCAGACGAUAAUCAUGCUUCUCUUCAUCAUUAGACACAAGGAUCACUCGACGUUGAUCAUCUAUGGCUUUGAGAGCAUCCCCAUUCAUGACAUGCAAAACAUUUUCAGUAUGAGCUUCACUUAGGCACAAUUGGCGAAGAAGAUCGUGAAUUUUGCAACUUCUCAUCCUUCCAUUAGCCCUUUGUUGACCA